rnacentral:tRNA from 1 species
AGUGUUGUGGUUCAAUGGUAGAAUGCUUCCCUAGCAUGUGUGAGGCAAUGGGUUCAAUUCUCAUCACCACAU